AUUCGAGUUAGUGGGCCACAGAUGGAACUGUCCUUAUUCUGCUGAGAUGAAAAGGGCUGGUGGGGAUAUUCCUAAGAAAUUCAAGGACUCUCAUUCUCAGCAAAGAGCUGGUUAAGGCAGAUUUUAAAUGUGUGACCUUGACCUCCUUCUAUCACAGAAAGGUCUAAAGUUUCAAGUGGUGGAUGUGACCAUUUAAAGGAAACAAACCUACAAUAAAGCACUGUGUAUCAUUAGCCCUUUGUUCCUGGUGUCGGAGCUGCUACCCUUUAGGUCUGGUCUUCAUAUACCUCUGCUCUGAGGGCUGCUGCCAAGCUGUACUGUUUAUUUAUAAUCACUGAGUAUGUCUUCUGAACAAAGAAAGCCCUGUAUGUGUAUGCGCCAAGAACGGGAGGAUACAUGAGAAAAUGUUAGGGCAGCUGCAUCCGGUGAGGGGAACCAGGAGCUGGGGAUCAAAAGGUACAAUUGCCCAUUCAAAAAAUAAAUACAUUUAAAGAUGCCAUA